UUUCCGUAGGUGAACCUGCGGAAGGAUCAUUAUUGUAUAACCGAGGUUCAAGGCCUGUCUCUAAACCGCCAUAUCGUGCUCGCCCGAAUGCCCUCACACACAUCCAUCUCAUCCCUAUGUACACCACCGCGUGUGUCCCCCUGGGGCUUUUUCGACGCAGGGCUUACGUUUUCUCGCCAACUAUGUAUUCUGAGUAGCUUGUAUUUUUUUUUUUUUCUCACCCACGAUCAACUCAACUUUCAACAACAGAUAUCUUGGCGCUCGCCUCAAUGAAAAACG
rnacentral:misc_RNA from 1 species